AGAGUUUGAUGCUCGCUCAGAAGAACGCUNGCNGCGUGCUUUACACNUGCAAAUUCGAACGCACCUUUCGGGUGAGUGGCGGACGGGUGAGUAACGCGUGGGAAUCUGCCCUCAGGAGGGGGAUAACGGCUGGAAACGGCCGCUAAUACCCCAUAUGCCGAGAGGUGAAAUGAAUUUCGCCUGAGGAUGAGCCCGCGUCUGAUUAGCUAGUUGGUGUGGUAAUGGCGCACCAAGGCUUCGAUCAGUAGCUGGUCUGAGAGGAUGAUCAGCCACACUGGGACUGAGACACGGCCCAGACUCCUACGGGAGGCAGCAGUGGGGAAUUUUCCGCAAUGGGCGAAAGCCUGACGGAGCAACGCCGCGUGAGGGAUGAAGGCCUCUGGGCUGUAAACCUCUUUUCUCAAGGAAGAAGAUCUGACGGUACUUGAGGAAUAAGCCACGGCUAAUUCCGUGCCAGCAGCCGCGGUAAUACGGGAGUGGCAAGCGUUAUCCGGAAUUAUUGGGCGUAAAGCGUCCGCAGGCGGCCUUGUAAGUCUGUCGUUAAAGCGUGGAGCUUAACUCCAUUUCAGCGAUGGAAACUACAAGGCUUGAGUGUGGUAGGGGCAGAGGGAAUUCCCGGUGUAGCGGUGAAAUGCGUAGAUAUCGGGAAGAACACCAGUGGCGAAGGCGCUCUGCUGGGCCAUAACUGACGCUCAUGGACGAAAGCCAGGGGAGCGAAAGGGAUUAGAUACCCCUGUAGUCCUGGCCGUAAACGAUGAACACUAGGUGUCGGGGGAAUCGACCCCCUCGGUGUCGUAGCCAACGCGUUAAGUGUUCCGCCUGGGGAGUACGCACGCAAGUGUGAAACUCAAAGGAAUUGACGGGGGCCCGCACAAGCGGUGGAGUAUGUGGUUUAAUUCGAUGCAACGCGAAGAACCUUACCAGGGUUUGACAUCCUGCGAAUCCCUUGGAAACGAGGGAGUGCCUUCGGGAGCGCAGUGACAGGUGGUGCAUGGCUGUCGUCAGCUCGUGUCGUGAGAUGUUGGGUUAAGUCCCGCAACGAGCGCAACCCACGUCGUUAGUUGCCAGCAUUCAGUUGGGCACUCUAGCGAGACCGCCGGUGAUAAACCGGAGGAAGGUGUGGAUGACGUCAAGUCAUCAUGCCCCUUACAUCCUGGGCUACACACGUACUACAAUGCUACGGACAAAGGGCAGCAAGCUCGCGAGAGUUAGCAAAUCCCAUAAACCGUGGCUCAGUUCAGAUCGUAGGCUGCAACUCGCCUACGUGAAGGAGGAAUCGCUAGUAAUCGCAGGUCAGCAUACUGCGGUGAAUACGUUCCCGGGCCUUGUACACACCGCCCGUCACACCAUGGAAGUUGGCCACGCCCGAAGUCGUUACUCCAACCCGCAAGGGAGGAGGAUGCCGAAGGUGGGGCUGAUGACUGGGGUGAAGUCGUAACAAGGUAGCCGUACCGGAAGGUGCGGCUGGAUCACCUCCU
rnacentral:rRNA from 1 species